ensembl:lncRNA
AUGUGGCGGAAAGUGGAACAGGUUUCAGAUACAAGGAAUUUCGACUACGUCACCCAUGGGAAUUUCACCCAGGGAAAUAUAAAUGACACCUACAAGAUUGUGAUUAGGUCACCCAGGUUCGACUCUCUAAAAACAGUUGGCAGAAACGUGGGUAUCAAAAGUACAAAAUUUUUAUUAAUACAACAUUUAAAUUUAAAGCAAGAAGACAUUACAUUAAAAUGCAGCCAUUGUACAAGGCAGCGUCUGAGGGCUCGGAAAAGAUGUAUGGCUAACAAAGUUUCAAAUAAACAAAAAAGAAAAAAAAACAACUCUUUAACUAAUAUUAACACAGCUUACAAAGACAAAAAACCACAGACUUACAGGGCUGAGGUACACCACAGGAGGAGUGAUCACUAAGCAAGUUAGCCAAAAGCACACUCACACACAUACACCACCGUGCACUCAGAUCACACCACCAAAAUGCUUCAAAAGUGUUGUAACAAAUUAGCUCAAAGUGAGAUGUACAUAAUCAUAAUGGGUUAUUAUUAAGUACAUUCAUCUUCAGGAAUUACUUGUAGCAUUAUAUCAUUAAUAGUACAAUAAAAUGAUUUGUUCGUCCGCAGGGCGGACAGUGUUAAUCGUUUAUUGACUCUAAGUAAAAUAAUUUCUCUGGCCACAAAAAAUAAUUUUACUACUAAUACAUUGCUCCCAGAGCAUGUAACGAAACCGGAACGUUAAAGUGACCUCGUCCUGUGAGCAGCAAACACAAACAACCAAGUGUGAAUACAUAUGGAUGUUUAUUAAACUACACUACAGGGGAACAUGCAAUCAGACUAAACACAAACAUACACACAUUAAACAUAGAUGCCAACGCAAGUAAGGCAUGGAGAGAGAGAGAGAGAGAGAGAGAGAGCGCACUGCAGAGAGUGAGCGAGCGAGCGCAAGAGGGUGGAGAGUCAUGGCAGUAUAUACUCAUAAACUAAAUCACAACCUGUUAAGAACCAUCAAAGAAUCUCAUCACCUUAAUUAAAAGGGGUCAAAGCCUAGAAGCGCAUCUAAAUAGUUAACAAGCGGUUACUUGCAUUGGUUCUGUAGUUGCUGAGUAAAGUGUCCCGGUGCAUGUAUACAGGUCCUUCUCAAAAAAUUAACAUAUUGUGAAAGUGUUAAUUAUUUUCCAUAAUGUAAUGAUAAAAAUUAAACUUUCAUAUAUUUUAGAUUCAUUGCACACCAACUGAAAUAUUUCAGGUCUUUUAUUGUUUUAAUACUGAUGAUUUUGGCAUACAGCUCAUGAAAACCCAAAAUUCCUAUAUCAAAAAAUUAGCAUAUUUCAUCCGACCAAUAAAAGAAAAGUGUUUUUAAUACAAAAAAAGUCAACCU